CCACGAGUUCUCCAAAUUUCCUUUGGUUUCCAUUUGCUUUACUUUUCUCAACCCUUAUGUUUGCUUUCAUUUCUCAGCCUCUAUUUUCUCUGUUUGUUUCAUUGCCCAUUCCAGAUCUUUUCUUUCUCUGUUUGCUUCUACUAGUCUGCCUCCAUUGCAUAUUUUUUUGGUUGUUUUCACGAAAGCGCCGUGUGCUGUCUAUUCCGUUUCGAUUUGUAGAAGAUUAUUGAAGGUGUUUGGAAAUGGAGGAAUGAAUAUGGAGGGUGAGAACCAAGUGAUAGCAGGAAGCAAAGUAGAAGGGAUUGUAAACCGAGGAUAUGUGUGUUGGGACAAUUUAAUUUAAACAACCGUUGCUGGCAGUGUAUUGCCACAGUGCAGUGUUGGUUGCCUUUUGUAUCAAUUUGGCUUUACUGACUCGGCAAGAAGACUUGUUUUAAGCAUCAAGUUUAGUUUAUCUUUCGUUAUAAAUUUUCUUUACUGGUAGGGAUGCAUGUGUUCUAUCCUCUGCGUGUUGAAUGAGUAUGUUAAAAAAAGUACACUUUUGAAGCUUAGUGUGAAAAUUUAUAAACUGAAUUUAGAUUUGGGAAACGCAUGAUUAUAUUUAGGAAAGAAGACAAAAGCUUAGACCUAUUUUAAAUUUUUUAAUAUGUGUUUUAUGAGUUUAGGAAGAAAACGUGUUUAUUAACUAAUGGUUUGAUGUUUAGGCUAAUCUUUUUUAAUACAUGUAAAAUAUUGUUUUUAAUCAUUAUUAUAUGCUUGAUGUACACUUUCUUUUCAAA